rnacentral:tRNA from 1 species
GAGUAGUUUAUUUAAAAUGUCGAUUUGUGGUGUCGGAGAAGUAAAGGUUUACCUUUAAUAGUGC